rnacentral:rRNA from 1 species
GACGAACGCUGGCGGCGUGCUUAACACAUGCAAGUCGAACGGAAAGGCCCUGCUUUUGUGGGGUGCUCGAGUGGCGAACGGGUGAGCAACACGUGAGUAACCUGCCCUUGACUUUGGGAUAACUUCAGGAAACUGGGGCUAAUACCGGAUAGGAGCUCCUGCUGCAUGGUGGGGGUUGGAAAGUUUCGGCGGUUGGGGAUGGACUCGCGGCUUAUCAGCUUGUUGGUGGGGUAGUGGCUUACCAAGGCUUUGACGGGUAGCCGGCCUGAGAGGGUGACCGGCCACAUUGGGACUGAGAUACGGCCCAGACUCCUACGGGAGGCAGCAGUGGGGAAUAUUGCACAAUGGGCGGAAGCCUGAUGCAGCAACGCCGCGUGCGGGAUGACGGCCUUCGGGUUGUAAACCGCUUUCGCCUGUGACGAAGCGUGAGUGACGGUAAUGGGUAAAGAAGCACCGGCUAACUACGUGCCAGCAGCCGCGGUGAUACGUAGGGUGCGAGCGUUGUCCGGAUUUAUUGGGCGUAAAGGGCUCGUAGGUGGUUGAUCGCGUCGGAAGUGUAAUCUUGGGGCUUAACCCUGAGCGUGCUUUCGAUACGGGUUGACUUGAGGAAGGUAGGGGAGAAUGGAAUUCCUGGGUGGAGCGGUGGAAUGCGCAGAUAUCAGGAGGAACACCAGUGGCGAAGGCGGUUCUCUGGGCCUUUCCUGACGCUGAGGAGCGAAAGCGUGGGGAGCGAACAGGCUUAGAUACCCUGGUAGUCCACGCUGUAAACGGUGGGUACUAGGUGUGGGGUCCAUUCCACGGGUUCCGUGCCGUAGCUAACGCUUUAAGUACCCCGCCUGGGGAGUACGGCCGCAAGGCUAAAACUCAAAGGAAUUGACGGGGCCCCGCACAAGCGGCGGAGCAUGCGGAUUAAUUCGAUGCAACGCGUAGAACCUUACCUGGGUUUGACAUGGAUCGGGAGUGCUCAGAGAUGGGUGUGCCUCUUUUGGGGUCGGUUCACAGGUGGUGCAUGGCUGUCGUCAGCUCGUGUCGUGAGAUGUUGGGUUAAGUCCCGCAACGAGCGCAACCCUUGUUCACUGUUGCCAGCACGUUAUGGUGGGGACUCAGUGGAGACCGCCGGGGUCAACUCGGAGGAAGGUGGGGAUGACGUCAAGUCAUCAUGCCCCUUAUGUCCAGGGCUUCACGCAUGCUACAAUGGCUGGUACAGAGAGUGGCGAGCCUGUGAGGGUGAGCGAAUCUCGGAAAGCCGGUCUCAGUUCGGAUUGGGGUCUGCAACUCGACCUCAUGAAGUCGGAGUCGCUAGUAAUCGCAGAUCAGCAACGCUGCGGUGAAUACGUUCCCGGGGCU